rnacentral:rRNA from 1 species
ACUGAGAUACGGCCCAGACUCCUACGGGAGGCAGCAGUGGGGAAUAUUGCACAAUGGGCGCAAGCCUGAUGCAGCGACGCCGCGUGCGGGAUGGAGGCCUUCGGGUUGUAAACCGCUUUUGUUCAAGGGCAAGGCAGGCUUUCGGGCCUGUUGAGUGGAUUGUUCGAAUAAGCACCGGCUAACUACGUGCCAGCAGCCGCGGUAAUACGUAGGGUGCAAGCGUUAUCCGGAUUUAUUGGGCGUAAAGGGCUCGUAGGCGGUUCGUCGCGUCCGGUGUGAAAGUCCAUCGCUUAACGGUGGAUCCGCGCCGGGUACGGGCGGGCUUGAGUGCGGUAGGGGAGACUGGAAUUCCCGGUGUAACGGUGGAAUGUGUAGAUAUCGGGAAGAACACCAAUGGCGAAGGCAGGUCUCUGGGCCGUUACUGACGCUGAGGAGCGAAAGCGUGGGGAGCGAACAGGAUUAGAUACCCUGGUAGUCCACGCCGUAAACGGUGGAUGCUGGAUGUGGGGCCCUUUUUCCGGGUCCUGUGUCGGAGCUAACGCGUUAAGCAUCCCGCCUGGGGAGUACGGCCGCAAGGCUAAAACUCAAAGAAAUUGACGGGGGCCCGCACAAGCGGCGGAGCAUGCGGAUUAAUUCGAUGCAACGCGAAGAACCUUACCUGGGCUUGACAUGUGCCGGACGCCCGCGGAGACGCGGGUUCCCUUCGGGGCCGGUUCACAGGUGGUGCAUGGUCGUCGUCAGCUCGUGUCGUGAGAUGUUGGGUUAAGUCCCGCAACGAGCGCAACCCU